rnacentral:rRNA from 1 species
GCAGCAGCCGCGGGAAUACGAAGGGGGCUAGCGUUGUUCGGAUUUACUGGGCGUAAAGGGUGCGUAGGCGGACUGAUAAGUCAGGGGUGAAAUCCCAAGGCUCAACCUUGGAACUGCCUUUGAUACUGUUAGUCUUGAGUUCGAGAGAGGUGAGUGGAACUGCGAGUGUAGAGGUGAAAUUCGUAGAUAUUCGCAAGAACACCAGUGGCGAAGGCGGCUCACUGGCUCGAAACUGACGCUGAGGCACGAAAGCGUGGGGAGCAAACAGGAUUAGAUACCCGCGUAGUCCCUGUCUCUUAUAC